GAUGAACGCUAGCGACAGGCUUAACACAUGCAAGUCGAGGGGCAGCGGGGAUAAAGCUUGCUUUAUCUGCCGGCGACCGGCGCACGGGUGAGUAACACGUAUGCAACCUACCCUAUGCAGGGGAAUAACCACGGGAAACCGUGCCUAAUACCGCGUAACGCACUGAUUGGGCAUCCGAUUGGUGUCAAAGGAGCAAUCCGGCAUAGGAUGGGCAUGCGGCGCAUUAGCUAGUUGGCGGGGUAACGGCCCACCAAGGCGACGAUGCGUAGGGGUUCUGAGAGGAAGGUCCCCCACACUGGUACUGAGACACGGACCAGACUCCUACGGGAGGCAGCAGUGGGGAAUAUUGGGCAAUGGGGGGAAACCCUGACCCAGCAACGCCGCGUGAAGGAGAAGGUCUUCGGAUCGUAAACUUCUUUAAGUGUGGAAGAAAUUGACGGUACACACAGAAUAAGCCACGGCUAACUACGUG
rnacentral:rRNA from 1 species